rfam:Ailuropoda melanoleuca scaffold769_17, whole genome shotgun sequence.
GCCUGGCUGGCUCAAUUGGAAGAGCAUGGGACUCCUAAUCUCAGGGUCAUGAGUUCGAGCCCCAUGUUGGGCA